UACGUAGGGUGCAAGCGUUAAUCGGAAUUACUGGGCGUAAAGCGUGCGCAGGCGGUGAUGUAAGACAGAUGUGAAAUCCCCGGGCUUAACCUGGGAACUGCAUUUGUGACUGCAUCGCUGGAGUGCGGUAGAGGGGGAUGGAAUUCCGCGUGUAGCAGUGAAAUGCGUAGAUAUGCGGAGGAACACCGAUGGCGAAGGCAAUCCCCUGGGCCUGCACUGACGCUCAUGCACGAAAGCGUGGGGAGCAAACAGG
rnacentral:rRNA from 1 species